rnacentral:rRNA from 1 species
UGCGUAGGCGGGCUGGAAAGUCAGAGGUGAAAUCCCGGGGCUCAACCCCGGAACUGCCUUUGAAACUUCCAGUCUUGAAUCCGGAAGAGGUGAGUGGAAUUCCGAGUGUAGAGGUGAAAUUCGUAGAUAUUCGGAAGAACACCAGUGGCGAAGGCGGCUCACUGGUCCGGUACUGACGCUGAGGUACGAAAGCGUGGGGAGCAAACAGGAUUAGAUACCCUGGUAGUCC